rnacentral:rRNA from 1 species
CACAUGCAGUCGAGCGGUAACAGAUCUAGCUUGCUAGAUGCUGACGAGCGGCGGACGGGUGAGUAAUGCAUAGGAAUCUGCCCGAUAGUGGGGGAUAACCUGGGGAAACCCAGGCUAAUACCGCAUACGUCCUACGGGAGAAAGGGGGCUCCGGCUCCCGCUAUGGGAUGAGCCUAUGUCGGAUUAGCUAGUUGGUGAGGUAACGGCUCACCAAGGCCACGAUCCGUAGCUGGUCUGAGAGGAUGAUCAGCCACAUCGGGACUGAGACACGGCCCGAACUCCUACGGGAGGCAGCAGUGGGGAAUAUUGGACAAUGGGGGCAACCCUGAUCCAGCCAUGCCGCGUGUGUGAAGAAGGCCCUCGGGUUGUAAAGCACUUUCAGCGAGGAAGAACGCCUAGCGGUUAAUACCCGCUAGGAAAGACAUCACUCGCAGAAGAAGCACCGGCUAACUCCGUGCCAGCAGCCGCGGUAAUACGGAGGGUGCAAGCGUUAAUCGGAAUUACUGGGCGUAAAGCGCGCGUAGGUGGCUUGAUAAGCCGGUUGUGAAAGCCCCGGGCUCAACCUGGGAACGGCAUCCGGAACUGUCAAGCUAGAGUGCAGGAGAGGAAGGUAGAAUUCCCGGUGUAGCGGUGAAAUGCGUAGAGAUCGGGAGGAAUACCAGUGGCGAAGGCGGCCUUCUGGACUGACACUGACACUGAGGUGCGAAAGCGUGGGUAGCAAACAGGAUUAGAUACCCUGGUAGUCCACGCCGUAAACGAUGUCGACCAGCCGUUGGGUGCCUAGCGCACUUUGUGGCGAA